UGUCCCGCCUGAAGUUCCGCUGUCGGGGGCCUCCGGUGUAGACGGGGAGACGACUCGAGCCACGGGCUUCCUCCGGCAGAGUCCGUUCCUGGGCUCACCCCUGCCCCAGCGGCGCCCUCCCGGCGGCUGCUCCGGACUGCUCUCAUUUCCCUCCCAUAGACCGCAUUCCCACCCACUGACUUGAGACCCUCCAUGAACGAAUGGAUAACAACAGCAAUGGAAUCAGGAAGCAAGCUCAGCUUUCACAUGUUUGUUCUGCUUUUGUUUAGGUUUAUGUUUUGUUGUUUAUUGUUGUUGUUUUUCCCCUAAGGACCAAGCACGGUGUUUUCUGAAUGAACGUUUCUGGGUUUGGAUAGAUUCAGAGAGGCUGCCCAGAUGAGGAAACCGAGGCUGAGAAGAAAGUAAUUGUUCAGAAAUCACACAGGCAGCGAAUGGUAGACUGGACUGAGACUUGAGCCCCAGCGUUGACUCAGCCAUUGACACGCAAGCCUGCUUACACCGUCGAACUUUUACAAAGCAUGAAUAAAAAUAAGCAACGAAAAUUCCAGGCAGGCACUAGAAUUCACAGAUUAGAAGAGAAAUGUCUUCUGUUAUGAUUCACGGUAAUAAAGACUCAAGAAGAACAUCCACUAUCGUGUUUCUGGGCAGGCCUUGUCCCCAGAAGGAGAUGACCAAUGCAAGACCAGCUCAAAGACAUUUUCGUUCUGUCCCAUUCCAAUUUAUUUCCAUUUACUCUUAUUA